CGUGGGUAACCUGCCUUAUAGUGGGGGAGUAGCCUUUCAAAGGAAGAUUAAUACCGCAUAAGAUUGUAGUAUCGCAUGAUAUAGCAAUUAAAGGAGCAAUCCGCUAUAAGAUGGACCCGCGUCGCAUUAGCUAGUUGGUGAGGUAAUGGCUCACCAAGGCGACGAUGCGUAGCCGACCUGAGAGGGUGAUCGGCCACAUUGGGACUGAGACACGGCCCAGACUCCUACGGGAGGCAGCAUG
rnacentral:rRNA from 1 species